CUUGACGGAGCCGAGAUGGAGCGGCUGCCCGGCGGGACGGUCCCGGCCGUAGGCGGCCAGGAGGGCCUGGGCCUC
rnacentral:antisense_RNA from 1 species